rnacentral:rRNA from 1 species
GGAAAACUCACCAGGUCCAGACAUAGUAAGGAUUGACAGAUUGAUAGCUCUUUCUUGAUUCUAUGGGUGGUGGUGCAUGGCCGUUUUUAGUUGGUGGAGUGAUUUGUCUGCUUAAUUGCGUUAACGAACGAGACCUUAACCUGCUAAAUAGCAACAGCUAUCUCCGGAUAACUGUACUGCUUCUUAGAGGGACUUUGUGUUUUUCAGCGCAAGGAAGUUUGAGGCCACAA